rnacentral:rRNA from 1 species
GCGCACGGGUGCGUAACGCGUAUGCAACCUACCUUUAACAGGGGCAUAACACUGAGAAAUUGGUACUAAUUCCCCAUAACAUUCGAGAAGGCAUCUUCUUGGGUUAAAAACUCCGGUGGUUAAAGAUGGGCAUGCGUUGUAUUAGCUAGUUGGUGAGGUAACGGCUCACCAAGGCAACGAUACAUAGGGGGACUGAGAGGUUAACCCCCCACAUUGGUACUGAGACACGGACCAAACUCCUACGGGAGGCAGCAGUGAGGAAUAUUGGUCAAUGGACGCAAGUCUGAACCAGCCAUGCCGCGUGCAGGAAGACGGCUCUAUGAGUUGUAAACUGCUUUUGUACUAGGGUAAACGCUCCUACGUGUAGGAGUCUGAAAGUAUAGUACGAAUAAGGAUCGGCUAACUCCGUGCCAGCAGCCGCGGUAAUACGGAGGAUCCAAGCGUUAUCCGGAUUUAUUGGGUUUAAAGGGUACGUAGGCGGUUUGAUAAGUUAGAGGUGAAAUACCGGGGCUCAACUCCGGAACUGCCUCUAAUACUGUUGAACUAGAGAGUAGUUGCGGUAGGCGGAAUGUAUGGUGUAGCGGUGAAAUGCUUAGAGAUCAUACAGAACACCGAUUGCG